UCCCUGGUAGUCUAAUGGUUAGGACUUUGUGCUUUCAUUGUUAUGGCCCAGGUUCAAUCCCUGGUCUUGGAA
rnacentral:tRNA from 1 species